rnacentral:tRNA from 1 species
GGGGGUAUAGCUCAGUGGUAGAGCACAAGCUUAGCAUGCAGGAGGUUCAAUCCCAGUAUCUCCA